ACUCUCAUAUAUCUACUCUUCUUAUUUACUUCACUUAUUUAUCUAAUUGUCAUGCAAACUUUCUAAUUUACCCUUAACCCAAUCCCUUGGUGAAAAGAGCCUAUUAUUAAUUACCGUCUUGCUAUCCCUAGCCUCCCCUAGUAACCAAUAAUGCAAUGCGAUCGGAAGCAACUACAAUUGAUCGUCCUACCCCUAUCUCUAGGCGAUAUUGGCAUAAUCAAGGAAUUUCCCACCAGUUCGUGACAUUACCGUACGUUUCCAUAUCGAUAAAGACAAACAUCUUUUACUGAAUGAGUUAAACAAUAAAAGCAUUGAGCAUAGAUGAGAACCCAAAAAUUGAUAAAC
rnacentral:lncRNA from 1 species